UACGUAGGCAGCAAGCGUUGUUCGGAGUUACUGGGCGUAAAGGGUGUGUAGGCGGUUGGUUAAGUUUGGUGUGAAAUCUCCCGGCUCAACUGGGAGGGUGCGCCGAAUACUGAAUGACUAGAGUGCGGGAGAGGAAAGUGGAAUUCCUGGUGUAGCGGUGAAAUGCGCAGAUAUCGGGAGGAACACCAGUAGCGAAGGCGGCACUCUGGGCCGGUACUGACGCUGAGGAGCGAAAGCGUGGGGAGCAAACAGG
rnacentral:rRNA from 1 species